CCUUAUUCUGUGAGAGGCUGCAGCACCAAGUGCUCUAGCUGACACUGUCCUGAGGCUAUGCUGAAUCCUCUUUUCUCAUCUCUAGGACCUAAGUGUGUACAUAUAAGCAUAUGGAAGUCAGAGGACAAUCUCAGGGCUGCUGCUUUGUAUUGUGUAGGAAACCCAGAAUGCAGUGCGGCACAGAGCCAAUCCCACACCACUUGACGUCAGCUUUGCCUCCCCGGAUUCUCUUCUGCCCAGCAACAAGGACUCCUGGUUGUGUACCGGGUCAGUGGGCCGGGCUGGGAAGGAGUGAGCCACAGAGAGCAGGAGGUGGCCAGUCUCUCCUGCCCCCUGCCAUCAGUGGGCUGGAAGACUCAGACAGACCCUCAGCUUAAUUGGCAAAUGGAUUCUCGAGGGGUAAUUUUGUUGAUGUGCGCUGUGGGAGGGUCUGCAGGCCCUAAUGACGGGCUCAGCCUGCUAAAUGUGUUUACCAAAAAAUAAGGUUAUUUAUUUCACAGAUACUUUUUCCCGUUGCCAUCAGCCUAUUAAUGCGAGUUUUAUGUAACAGGACAAACAGAUCACAGUGCAAAGUCUUUUGAAAAUCCCCCGUGAAUGCUGUAAUAAUGCUUUAAUGUAUUAAUCCUCCUAAUCCUGUCAAACUUCUAGAAGAAUUUCAGGACUGCUGACAGGAGCUCUGGCUCUCUGCGCCAGAGAAAGAGGUCUCCUGAGCCCUGAAACAGAGCUGGUAAAGUGGACCUGGGAUCACUGGUGCCGAGCACACCUUUCCCCGCCCCCUUCUCAAUCUCUGUCUUCUAUGUACUGAGGUAAGCACUGUAUUUCAUUCAGUCUCCACAGCAGCCCGGUGAAGCAGGAACUGCUGUUCUCUUCAAGUUUCAGACGGGAGUAGCCUGUCCCCACUGCAGGCAGCUGGCGGAGAGAGGCUGAGUUUAAAGCUUGUUGUGACUCAGAAACCCAAGCUACCUCUGCAUAGGCCAGAAAAGCAACAUUUUUGGCUCUUCAGGGCAAAUACUCUAAGCAUUCAACUCUCUGUCAUCAUGAAACCUCCAGAAGCCACACAUAAGCAAACAGGUG